GAUGAGAACGUAGCGAAAUGCGAUACGUAAUGUGAAUUGCAGAAUUCAGUGAAUCAUCGAGUCUUUGAACGCACAUUGCGCCCUCUGGUAUUCCGGAGGGCAUGCCUGUCCGAGCGUCAUUGCUGCCCUCAAGCACGGCUUGUGUGUUGGGCUCCGUCCCCCGAUCCCGGGGGACGGGCCCGAAAGGCAGCGGCGGCACCGCGUCCGGUCCUCGAGCGUAUGGGGCUUUGUCACCCGCUCUGUAGGCCCGGCCGGCGCUUGCCGAUCAACCAAAUUUUUAUCCAGGUUGACCUCGGAUCAGGUAGGGAUACCCGCUGAACUUAAGCAUAUCAAUAAGCGGAGGA
rnacentral:misc_RNA from 1 species